UUUUAAAAAUAAAAAAUAAAAGUGUGUUAUGUAAUUUUUUUUUUUAAAAUUUUAUUUAAGUCAGAUUUGGGUCUGGGGUCGUGUUGGGGUUGGCCGCUAGGGUUUGAGAUAUGGGUUUGAGUUUGGGAUCCAGGUGCAGAUUUGGGUUCGGGUUCGAGAUCUGGUUCCAAGUCUAGGCCGAGGUCGGUGAUUGGGUCUGAAUCCAUGUGUCAAAGUCCAAAUUGAAGUCGGAAUUCAAAAUAUUGGUUAAAAAAAUUAUUUAAAAAUAAUUGAAAGUUACUUUUUUCUGUUUUUCAAAAUUUUAUUUCUAAAUUAUAAAAUUAAAAAGUAAAACAUUUUUAUAAAAUAUGUUUUUACUUUUUUAAUUAAAAAAAUAAAAAAGUGUAAUCACACUUACUAUUUUUUAUGUCCAUUUUUUUUUUGAAAUGGUGAAAUAUAUAGAGUUUAGGUGAACUAUUAAUGUGUAUCUAUUUGUUUUUUUUAAAAAGAAAAUUGUGUAUCUAUAUAUAAACAUGGAACCCUAAUAAAUUUGUUGCUUGGUUUUUUUUGCUUAUAUAUACAUAAUGAUUAAUGAUAUAUAUAGAUAUAUACACAUUGUCAUAAGUGUAUAGGUGUUGUCUGGUUAAUUUGAUUGCUAUAUAUAUAAUUUGAUAUAGUAUUAUGGUAUGGUGCAACUAUAUAUGUCAUCAAAUUUAUGGUACAACACUACUACUAGAAUAGAUUUAUAUAGGGAAAUUUGAUUUUCUAUACUUAGAAAAUCAAAAAAUUUGAUUUCUAAACCAAUAAUUUAAACCCUAAAAAAAUUAUACCUUUUUUUUUUCAAAACCCCAAAAAUACCCCCAAACUAAAACUAUCUCUCUUUCUCUCUCUAUCUAGCCGGUCCCAAGAAUCCCACACCCCAGGUCCGACCAUCGGACCUCUCUCUUCCCCUCUCUCUCAAAUCGCGGGAAAAAAAAAAAAAAAAAAUUAAAAGCG